rnacentral:rRNA from 1 species
AACNCGAAGAACCNUACUGGGUUUGACAUGUAGUGGAAAACUGGCAGAGAUGCAGUCCCUCCUUCGGGAGUCGCUACACAGGUGCUGCAUGNCUGUCGUCAGCUCGUCCGUGAGUGUUGGUAAAGUCCCGCAACGAGCGCAACCCCUGUUCUUAGUUGCCCUUCGGGAUCUUAAGAAGACUGCCGGCGACAAGCCGGAGGAAGGUGGGGAUGACGUCAAGUCUUCAUGNCCCUUACGUCCAGGGUACACACGUACUACAAUGGUCGUACAGAAGGCUGCAAUACCGCGAGGUGGAGUAUCCCAAAAACCGCCUCAUUCGGAGUCUGCAACUCGACUCCGUGAAGGUGAAUUGCUAGUAU